rnacentral:rRNA from 1 species
GCCGAAACUUAAAGGAAUUGACGGAAGGGCACCACCAGGAGUGGAAUCUGCGGCUUAAUUUGACAACGCGGGAAAACUCACCAGGUCUAGGACACGGUAAGGAUUGACGGACUGAAGGCUCUUUCUCGAUUCCGUGGAAAGUGGUGCAUGGCCGUUUUUGGUUGGUGGAUCGAUCCGUCUGGUUAAUUCCGUUAACGAACGAGACCUCGGCACUCCGAAUAGCGCGGCGGACGUCGCGGCCUCCGGGGCCGUCUUCCGCACGAGCUUCUUAGAGGGACCGUCCCCCGCCGGGAAGGAGGUGCGAGGCAACGACAGGUCUGUGAUGCCCUUAGAUGUUCUGGGCCGCACGCGCAUUACACUGACGCGUCCAACGGGUGACUCCCGACCCGAAGGGGCCGGGGAAUCCGCAAGGCGCGUCGUGAUGGGGAUUGAACGUUGCAAUUGUUGUUCACGAACGAGGAAUUCCUAGUAGGCGCGGGUCAUCAACCCGCGCCGAUUACGUCCCUGCCCUUUGUACACACCG